GCCAGUCAGCCUAGCAGCAUCAUCAUCAUCAGUGUUUCUAUUUGACGAAAACGGUGGCUACAGGAGCGUACAUACUAUUUAAACGAAAACUAUCCAUUUUCUGUUUAUGAAAGGAAGGAAGGAACCAAGAGAUCAAGUAGACAAGACGAUGAUGCGUCGUCAUCUAUUUUUUUGGAAUAUUUAGUUUGAACCGGUCUUGGCGGCAUAACAACGCCUAUUUCCACCACAUCGAGUCGUCGUCUGAGAUAACCUGUUUUGUUAUAAAUGAUCGCUGAUAAUCUGUGAAGGAACACGUUUUCUUCAUAUCAAGUUAAUUUUCCUCAAUAACAUCCUCUAGAUUCUCCCUCAGAAAAACUUUCCUUCCUUCGUCAGUAUUGAUUAGCAUCAGGAUUUUGGGAAAUGCAUGUUGUUUAUUGGUACUACAUGGAACAUUACCAAUAGCAACUCUUAAAGUGUAUGAGACAACAGUGAAUUAUUGUACACGCAUUUAACAAAUUUAAACAACAAGUAAAGUUUUUUGUAUAUUAGAUUCAUACAUCAGCAGUGAAAUCUGGUUGUAGUAUUUCAAGAUAUUGUACUUAAUUUUUAACAGAUUUAUUCAGUAAUUAUUUGUAAACAAUUCUGUAUUAAGAGUUGUGAAUUGAACACAUUGUCAUUACAGAACAGGACAGGACAUUAGGGCUAAAAUGAAUCCAGAACAUUCUUUAGAAUUUCCUUUGAAAAGUGAAACUGAAGGUGCAUUAUCACUACCUUCCAUAAACCAAGAAAACAGCAACAUGGCUGCCUUUAGUGGAACCAGUGAUGGAGACUUUUUGUCUCUGGAUCCAUUGAUGGACAUCAA